rnacentral:rRNA from 1 species
AACGAACGCUGGCGGCAUGCCUAACACAUGCAAGUCGAACGAGACCUUCGGGUCUAGUGGCGCACGGGUGCGUAACGCGUGGGAACCUGCCCUUAGGUUCGGAAUAACUCCCCGAAAGGGGUGCUAAUACCGGAUAAUGUCUUCGGACCAAAGAUUUAUCGCCUUUGGAUGGGCCCGCGUUGGAUUAGCUAGUUGGUAGGGUAAAAGCCUACCAAGGCGACGAUCCAUAGCUGGUCUGAGAGGAUGAUCAGCCACACUGGGACUGAGACACGGCCCAGAACUCCAACGGAGGGCGGAGGUGGGGAAAAUUGAACAUGGGGCAAAGGCCGAUUCCAGCAAUGCGGGGUGAUUAAGAAGGGCCUAGGGUUUUUAAAGCUCUUUUACCCGGAUGAUUAAGAACAGAACCGGGGGAUUAGGCCCGGGCAAACUCCUG